rnacentral:lncRNA from 1 species
AUAAAUUAGUGUGUGACUUUAUUUCAUUUUAUACCAGUAUUAAUCAAACAUUCAGUAGCCAGACACAUUCCAGCAGUGCAAGAUAAAUUCUCUACAGAGCUUACAAGCAGAGCGUCUCAGAUUUUUUCAUGUAUGUAGAACUUCAGAGUUUCUUAAAAAUGCAGAUUUUUAGGACAAACCUCAGAUUUUAAUUUAGUAGGAAUGGGUUAAUGCUUAGGAACCUGGAAAUUGUUGACCAGCUCAGUGACUCUGAUAAGAGAUAAAAUGUUACCGUAGACUUAGGCUUUUCCUUAUGUCUUAUUUGAACGGGAUAAAUGGGUGAUGGGUGAGAUAGGAGGAACAUAACCAAAGUAGAGUCAAGAAUAAGCCAAAGCGUUGUAGCAUAGCAUAAGGGGAUCUGAUUAGANNNNNNNNNNNNNNNNNNNNNNNNNAACAAAACAAAAAAAAACUGUGAGAAUUAGAAUCUUCAAACCAUCUAAGGUUUCAGAUUAGGGGAAAAAUCAUAUAAUGAUGUAAUAUUGAUUUGUUUGCUCAAGUUAUAAGGCUGGAAAUCCAGUUAAGGUUUAGGAUGUCACCUUGUGCAUUAGAUUUUGCCAACUGUUUACUUAAAACAACAACAACAAUGAAAAACUCCAGUAAUUAGAUGUUGCCUGUACAAAUAUUGAGCAUUAGUGAAAAUUCUGAUGUCUUACACAUGUUUGAAUUCAACCCCGGGGCAUUCCGUGGGCCCACACGUGGGCUGAAGCUCUGUAAUCAUUUUCACUACUUAUAGGAGAUAUGUUGAACAAUCUCUCCCUCAAUAGUAGAGCAAAUUGUGAUAUUAGAGCCUAGUCUAGAUUAGGACCCAGAGAAGCUAACUGAAGUGUUUCUUCCAGUCUCUCCAACCAAACACAUCUUUCCCUUUCUUUAGAGACUGAUGCAAUCUCUGUAUUUCAUUCAGCCUUCAAAAGCAACAGAGAAACAUCAAACCAUAAACAAGAAAAGAGGCAUCGUUUUGUCAGCUGAAGUAGGCAGGGAAAUGACUUUCCCUGCUGUUUGCCUCAGUGGAAUUACAGCCCUGUGUCUGUGUGAUCUCCAACUUGAUCAGAUUUCCUUUGUCACUGGUGCUGAAAGAACCUGUUUCUUGAGAGUCUUGCUUAGAACUAGGUUGUGCUGUUGCCACCUGCAAAGUUUGUUAUCCCCAUGUGUGGUCAGCAAGCCUCAUUUUCCAUGUUCCUUUUGCAGCUCCUUUGUACAUUAUCAAAUAUAUAUUUCCCUUAAAUUUAGACUCAGUGGAAGAGAUACUGUCAAGUAUGUUCAAAAUCUUUAUGUUUUAAGUACUGAUAACAUUUACAGAAUAACAUUAAGUAUGGGAGGGUUACAAUCAGAGAAACAUUAGAAAAGCAAACACAGAUCUCAAAAAUGGUAGCAGAUUGGUUAUUUUACUAUCAGUAGGAUGAGAUUCUGGUUUUCUUCCAUGACUGUGGGAGAAAAAGAAAAGAAGGGGAAGAAUAU